rnacentral:tRNA from 1 species
UGAUAAUUAGUUUAAUCAAAAUAAAUGAUUUCGACUCAUUAGACUGUAAUCUACAUUACAAUUAUCAA